AUGCCCACAAGAGUCAGACCUGGCUCCCCUACUUAUGCUCCAGGGCCCAGCCCUGCUCUCCUCUUCACCCUCCAGGGCCAGACCCUGCACCCCUCCUUAAAAUCCUGGGCUAGGCCCCCCUACUCUCCUCGCCCUCCAGGGUCAGGACCCACUGCCCUCAGGAAUGGCCAUCACUGGCCUCCAGGGUAUGGGUCAUGUUCCCCUUGCCCUCCAGGGCCUGGCCUCAUUCCCUCCUCACCCUCCAUGGCCCUGCCCUACUCCACUCGCUGCCCCCCAAGGCCUGACCACACUCCCCUCUUUGCCCUUCAGGGCCUGAACCCGCCCCCCUACUGCCUUUCAGGGCCUGGCCUGGCUCCCCUCCUUGCCCUCCAUGGCCUCACCCCUCUCUCCUGCCUAGACCUGCUCACCUCCAUGCCCUUCAUCGCCUGGGCCCCAAUCCCCUCACUGCCUUUCAGGGCCUGGCUCCAUUCCCCUCACCAUCCUCCAGUGCUGGAUACCACUCCCCUCCUAGCCUUCCAGGACCAGGCGCUGCUCCCCACCUCACCCCCCAGGGCCUUGGCUAUGAUCCCCGUUGUUGCCCUCCAGAGCAAGGCCCAGUUCCCCUCCUCACCCUCCAGGGUCUGGGCCCUGCUCCCCUCCUUUCCUCCAGGGCUGGACCCCGCUCCCCUUGUUGCCCUCCAGGGCAGGACCCUGCUUCCCUCUAUGCCUUCCAUGGCCCUGCCCUGCUCCCCUCGCCGAGCUCCAGGGGCUUACCCUGCUCACUUCCUUGCCCACCAGGGCCUGGGCUGUGCUCCCCUUGCUGCCCACCUGGGCCACGCCCCACUCCCCUCCUCACCCUCCAGGGCCAGGCCCUACUCCCCUCCUCACCAUCCUGGGCCAGGCCCCACUCCCCCCUCCUCCUCCAGGGCCUGGGACCUGAUCCCCUCACCGCCCUCUAGGACCAGGCCCUGCCCUCUCCUUGUCCUCCAGGACCGGCCCCCCUCCCCUAAUCACCCUCAUGGACCAGGCCCUGAUCUCCUCCUCACCAUCCUGAGCCAGGCCCCCCUCUUCUCCUUGCCCUCAUGUGCCAGGCCAAAUUCCCCUCCUUGCCCUCCAUGGCCCUACCCUGCUCCCUCACUGCCCUCCAGGGCCUCACCGUGA
rnacentral:lncRNA from 1 species